UUGAGACAGGUGGUGCAUGGUUGUCGUCAGCUCGUGUCGUGAGAUGUUGGGUUAAGUCCCGCAACGAGCGCAACCCCUAUUGCUAGUUACCAUCAUUAAGUUGGGGACUCUAGCGAGACUGCCAGUGAUAAACGUGGAGGAAGGUGGGGAUGACGUCAAAUCCUCAUGGCCUUUAUGACCAGGGCUACACACGUACUACAAUGGCCGAUACAAAGGGCAGCGACACUGCGAGGUGAAGCCAAUCCCGUAAAAUCGGUCUCAGUCCGGAUUGGAGUCUGCAACUCGACUCCAUGAAGUUGGAAUCGCUAGUAAUCGUGGAUCAGCAUGCCACGGUGAAUACGUUCCCGGGCCUU
rnacentral:rRNA from 1 species